rnacentral:miRNA from 1 species
GGUGGCUCCUUGGUUUGUAGUAUUAGGUUGGUGCAAAAGUAAUUGCAGUUUUUGCCACUGAAAGUAAUAGCAUCACUUCAACCUCUGCCUCUGUUUUCAUAGGGUCUUCCUCCGGGUGGCUCUGUGUGUCCCU